rnacentral:rRNA from 1 species
AGUGAACGCUGGCGGUAGGCCUAACACAUGCAAGUCGAACGGCAGCACAGUAAGAGCUUGCUCUUACGGGUGGCGAGUGGCGGACGGGUGAGGAAUACAUCGGAAUCUACUUUUUCGUGGGGGAUAACGUAGGUAAACUUACUCUAAUACCGCAUACGACCUACGGGUGAAAGCAGGGGAUCUUCGGACCUUGCGCGAUUGUAUGAGCCGAUGUCGGAUUAGCUAGUUGGCGGGGUAAAGGCCCACCAAGGCGACGAUCCGUAGCUGGUCUGAGAGGAUGAUAAGCCAAACGGGAAGGGAGAAACGGACCAGAGUAAUACGGGAGGAAGCAGUGGGGAAUAUUGGAGAAUGGGCGAAAGCAUGAUCCAGCAAUACCGAGUGGGUGAAGAAGGACUUCGGGUUGUAAAGCCAUUUUGUUGGGAAAGAAAAGCAGCAGGUUAAUACCCCGCUGUUCUGACGGUACCCAAAGAAUAAGCACCGGCUAACUUCGUG